UUGCACGCUGGCGGCAUGCUUUACACAUGCAAGUCGAACGGCAGCGGGGAGGAGCUUGCUUCUCUGCCGGCGAGUGGCGAACGGGUGAGUAAUACAUCGGAACGUGUCGAGAAGAGGGGGAUAACCACCCGAAAGGGUGGCUAAUACCGCAUAAAUUCUGAGGAAGAAAGCUGGGGACCUAGGAAUAGGCCUAGCGCUUUUUGAGCGGCCGAUGUCGGAUUAGCUAGUUGGUGAGGUAAAGGCUCACCAAGGCGAAGAUCUGUAGCGGGUCUGAGAGGAUGAUCCGCCACACUGGGACUGAGACACGGCCCAGACUCCUACGGGAGGCAGCAGUGGGGAAUUUUGGACAAUGGGGGCAACCCUGAUCCAGCCAUGCCGCGUGUAUGAAGAAGGCCUUAGGGUUGUAAAGUACUUUUGUUAGGGAAGAAAAGUCAGCUGUGAAUAAUGGCUGAUACUGACGGUACCUAAAGAAUAAGCACCGGCUAACUACGUG
rnacentral:rRNA from 1 species